GUUCAGAGGUGUGCUCUCCCGAUCUCACAAACUUCCGAUCCGCAAACUUCCUUUCCAGCGUCUGGUGCGAGAAAUUGCUCAGGACUUCAAAACACACCUGCGCUUCCAGAGCGCGGCUAUCGGUGCUUUUA